GGGGGGUUCGUAUAACGGUAGUACUACGGUCUCCAAAACCGUAUGCGAAGGUCCGACUCCUUCACCCCCUGCCA
rnacentral:tRNA from 1 species